rnacentral:lncRNA from 1 species
UGUGACAACCCGAGAAUUUAGACCAUUUAUUAAAAUCUUAAAUGAUUGAUUUAAGGUCAAAUAAUAGACCUAGAUAGAAAAUAAGUGUAUGUGUUUGAUGUUAUUAGGAUGGAAUUUUGAGGAUUUCAAAAUUUCGUGAAGGAUUUAGGUGAAUUAUUCAGGAUUAAGUGUUUAUGUGAUUAAGUUCUGUGAAUAUGGUUAUGUUCUGUGAUUUGUGUUUAAGUUAAGGUUACUCGACCUUGGGGAUUAAUGUGUAAUGUAAUGUAUAAAUAAUUUAUGUUUAUAUCUUCCGCAAACAGUUAUAGAAAGAUUAGCAAACCGAAUCCGCGGCGAUUUGGGGCCCGGGUUCGGGGGAUGCUACAGUUGGUGUAAUAACCCGAGAUUUCCUAAAUAAAAUAAUUAAGAAAUUUUGCGUAUAAUUUUUUUUUUUUUUUAUUUAAUGACGAGAAUAAGUGUCUAGUAAUGUGAACGAU